rnacentral:rRNA from 1 species
GGGGGAUAACAUCCGGAAACGGGUGCUAAUACCGCAUAGUUUCUUGAUUGCAUGAUUGAGAAAGGAAAGACGGCCUUUGUGCUGUCGCUUAUGGAUGGACCCGCGGCGUAUUAGUAGUUGGUGAGGUAACGGCUCACCAAGACGAUGAUACGUAGCCGACCUGAGAGGUGAUCGGCCACAUUGGGACUGAGACACGGCCCAAACUCCUACGGGAGGCAGCAGUAGGGAAUCUUCCGCAAUGGACGAAAGUCUGACGGAGCAACGCCGCGUGAGUGAAGAAAAGGUUUUCGGAUCGUAAAACUCUGUUGUCAGAGAAGAACAAGUUGGAGAGUAACUGCUCCAGCCUUGACGGUAUCUGACCAGAAAGCCACGGCUAACUACGUGCCAGCAGCGGC